GGGAAGGUGCCAGAGUGGCCGAUUGGGCUCGCCUGCUAAGUGAGUGCGGGGGUUGACUCCGCCCAGGGUUCGAAUCCCUGCCUUCCCGCAA
rnacentral:tRNA from 1 species